rnacentral:sRNA from 1 species
UUUGAUGUGAACCGGUUCGACUUAGCAUAUGGUUAAUUGAAAUCCAGCAAAAUAAGAAAAGACUUGAGAAUAUCUAAAGCCAAAACUGCUGAAUUCCAAAAGCCAAAAUAGGUGUUAACUUAUGGUGGAUAUAAAUAUAAAUCAUAGAGAAAAUUUUACGGAGAUUGAAUAAUUAAUACCCGCAAAAGGAUCGGGAAACUGAAUAGCAAAAAGACGAGAGAGAAUGAGAUUUUACUUCUUUAUAAUUGAAGUUAUGCGAAUGUUGUGUAUUUUUACAAUGAACGGUUUAUCGUUCUUUAUAUAGAGAUAAAAAAAAAGAUAAAAUUUACUGUGUUGGCAUAGUAACAUUUAAAUUUUAAACUACAUCACUAAAUAAUUAGCUUUGAAAGAAUAUAUAUUUCUCUUAGUUUUUUUUCUUUUCUUUUUAAGUUAUUAUUAAGAAUGUGGCCAAAUUUACCCAAGAGUUAAAAUUUUGUCCCAUCCUUUAUAUUUUAAGGAAAAAAUUAAUAGUUUUAGAGAUUGAUUUUUACCAUUUCAAUUUGGGGGAAAAAAAUAACAAUCUAAAAGCAUUGAAGGUUUGAAUUUUUGAUUCAAAAAGACCCAAAAU